UAAUAGACGAACCAGCUUGCUUUCUAUGGGAAGAAAUUUGUUUAGCGUUUCCAGAUACAAAGAUUGUUUUGGCUAUGAGAGAAAAUGAUGAAGUGUGGUUUGAAAGUCUAAAACAGCAUUAUAAGAAAGAAGAAUGUUUAUACGAAGAUUAUUUGGUGAAAUACCUUUCUCCUACAGGUUGGCGAAAGUACAGAAACAUAAGACUACCGAUGGAUAGAAUAUUCUACGGUGUUUCAGAAAUGACAACAAAACAAUUGAAGAAAACAAAAGCAUUUUGAAGUUGAAGUAUAGGGCACACAACAAUUACGUUUCGCAGGCAGCUCCCAAAGACAAAUUGUUGAUGUUUAAAUGCUCCGACGGAUGGUUACCGCUGUGACAGUUUUUGAAUCUUCCGGUUCCUAACGUUCCGUUUCCCCACAGUAAUAAAGGCGGCGGUAGCUAUAUAGAUCGUGAAAGCCACCCUCAAGCAGUGAAAAUGAGACAUGAAGUUUACCAGAGCAUAGCCGUCAUAUUCAGCAUUUCACUUGGAAUGUUUCUUUACUUGUUGUGGUAGUUAGUACUGGGGCAUUUGAAUAUAUUAUAUUUUAAUGUGCAAUGUUUUUGGUAUCUUUAUUCAAGAUAUUGGUGUUUAAAAUUUUUAUUAUAUUCAUGUGUACACUGGACAUUCGUGCACGAAUCACAUUUUUUAUCAAAAUUAUUUCAGGUUAUGUUCGCUGCGCCAAUCUAAUCUAUCUAAUUAUGUAACGGCUACCGUAUCUGUGGGUCUAGUAUAGAUCAGUAUCGAAAGUACUUUUAGUAAGAGUGGCGUAAAUAGACCUCCUUUUCAAAAUUCCACCUGACUGUGUCAUCCCAAAAUUACGUCACUGCUACGUUUUUGACUAUGAAUACUUUUAUUGAGGUACAUCGCCACUCAUAACCCUGAUUUUGUGCUCAACAAAAAUGUUGAAGAUUAUUAAAAAAGUUUAACAUUGACCAAUGGAAACAGGAACGGUUUAACACUACUAAAUUAUACUAUUAGCAAAUUAUAUUCCCAGAAAACAUCAGGUAUUUAAUUGGAAGAUUUUAGAAAAUGGGCUUUCAACUGGAGAACGAAUUAGACAUUGGUCAGAUGAAGCAAAUGGCAAUUGCGUAUUUUGUGACAGAGCGAUAGAAGAUUGUAUACAUUUAUUUUUUUAAUUGUGAUUAUAUAAAAUCUUUUUAGAAAAGGCUAAAUUUAUCAAAUUAUACAGAACAUAGUAUUUUCACCCAAAAUGUUGAAAUUAAAUCAUUAAACCUAAUUAUCUCUUGUGGUAAAGCAGCAAUUUGGAAUUUCAGAAAUGGCAUAAUAUUUCAAGAAUUGGAAACCUAUUAGUCCAUACUUCGAACGAUGUUCAAAUGUGUGGUGAAAGGAUCUAUAAGGGUUAUGAAUGAGUUUAUAAAAUGGGAAAUAUUAAGAGAUGAGAAAAUUGAAAUUCUUUUAGAAAAAUCUGUGAUGCUGUGAAGUUUUCAUAUCCGUUAUCUAAAAAAAAUAUUAUUUAGAUAGUUAUAAUGCGAUUGUAUGUUUAUUGUGAGUACAUGAAAAGUAUG